UACAGAGGUCCCAAGCGUUGUUCGGAUUCACUGGGCGUAAAGGGUGCGUAGGCGGUCGGGUAAGUCUGAUGUGAAAUCUCCGAGCUUAACUCGGAAAUGGCAUUGGAUACUAUUCGGCUAGAGGGUUUGAGGGGGGACUGGAAUACUUGGUGUAGCAGUGAAAUGCGUAGAUAUCAAGUGGAACACCAGUGGCGAAGGCGAGUCCCUGGAAAACUCCUGACACUGAGGCACGAAAGCUAGGGGAGCAAACAGG
rnacentral:rRNA from 1 species